rnacentral:rRNA from 1 species
GACGAACGCUGGCGGCGUGCUUAACACAUGCAAGUCGAACGGAAAGGCCCUGCCUUGGUGGGGUGCUCGAGUGGCGAACGGGUGAGUAACACGUGAGUAACCUGCCCUUUACUUUGGGAUAACUUCAGGAAACUGGGGCUAAUACCGGAUAGGAGCUCCUGCUGCAUGGUGGUGGUUGGAAAGUUUCGGCGGUUGGGCAAGGACUCGCGGCUUAUCAGCAUGUUGGUGGGGUAGUGGCUUACCAAGGCUUUGACGGGUAGCCGGCCUGAGAGGGUGACCGGCCACAUUGGGCCUGAGGUACGGCCCGGACUGCUACGGGAGGCAGCGGUGGGGGAUAUUGCACAAUGGGCGGAAGCAGGAUGCAGGGACGCCGCGUGCGGGAUGACGGCCUUCGGGUUGGAAACCGCGUUCGCCUGGGACGAAGCGUGAGUGACGGUAACGGGUAAAGAAGCACCGGCUAACUACGUG